AGAAUACUUUGAUAUUGUUUGUAAUGUUACCUGUGAUGUAAUCAUAUGAUGCUUAGUUUUCAUUACUUCAUCUGCAGCUUGUCGUUGAGCUCUUAAUUCGGUUUCUUUUUGUCUUUCAGCUUUCUGUUCUCGACGUCUUUGUUCAGCUAAUAUUCGCCCCGCUUCAUCUUCUUUUCGUAAACGUUGUAAACGCUGCUUUUCUUUUUUCAUCGACAUCCUUAUUCCUUUUUGCUAAUAAAAUUUUUUUGGCUUUUGCAGCGACUUUCGUGCUAAUUUAUGAACAAUCGCUUUCUCUGCAAUUUUUGGAGUGUUCAUGCCUGCCUGUUCGAAUGCCUCGAUUCUUUUUUUUUUACAGAUACCUUGGCAUAUGGAUCGAAUAAGGCAUUCGAUUUACACGUGUCUCUUAUUUCCUGGAAUCCUGUAAUUGUAUUCUUUUCCUUCGAAGAUGGUUUUAUUGCAGUAUUAAGUAUUGCAUCUUCCCUCGAUGUCAUAGAUCUGUUCUGCCGCUUUU
rnacentral:misc_RNA from 1 species